rnacentral:rRNA from 1 species
ACGGCAGCACGGGGGCAACCCUGGUGGCGAGUGGCGAACGGGUGAGUAAAGCAUCGGAACGUGCCCUGAAGUGGGGGAUAACGUAGCGAAAGUUACGCUAAUACCGCAUAUUCUGUGAGCAGGAAAGCAGGGGAUCGCAAGACCUUGUGCUUUAGGAGCGGCCGAUGUCGGAUUAGCUAGUUGGUGAGGUAAAGGCUCACCAAGGCGACGAUCCGUAGCGGGUCUGAGAGGAUGAUCCGCCACACUGGGACUGAGACACGGCCCAGACUCCUACGGGAGGCAGCAGUGGGGAAUUUUGGACAAUGGGCGCAAGCCUGAUCCAGCCAUGCCGCGUGAGUGAAGAAGGCCUUCGGGUUGUAAAGCUCUUUCGGCGGGGAAGAAAUUGCACUCUCUAAUACAGGGUGUAGGUGACGGUACCCGCAUAAGAAGCACCGGCUAACUACGUGCCAGCAGCCGCGGUAAU